rnacentral:lncRNA from 1 species
AUGGCUAAUGAAGAGUCCUAAUACUCAUGGACUAUGAGUCCUACGUGUCUGAGACUCUGUGAUCGAGAAUCAAGAUUCUCUGAUCAUGAGUCCCACAUAUUUUGGGUACCGGGGUCAAGAGUCCCACUGGUUUGGGACUCUUCGAUCAGGGUUACAUAUCGAUGAAUUCUGAUGCCCGAUUACCCAUCGAAUUUGGAGUCAAUAUUUAUGAGAGGUUUAAUUAGUGAUUUGAUCACUAAUUAACUCAAUUUGAUUGAGUAAUUAUUUUUGGAUCAAAUCCAAUUGAAAUGGAUUCAUUUGGGUUUGACCCGAUUAGGUUAAGAGUUGACCUAAUCGUCGAGAUGGUUUGGUCCCUGAUUUGAUCAGGGGUUGGGCUUAAUCAAUUUUUGAUUUGAUUAGAAUUUUAUUGAGUCUAAUUAAGC